AAAGUCUUGUUUUAAUUGAUUUUAUGUAAGAUGCUCUGAGAAUUUUUAUGCUCAAGUGUGAGUGCAAAUCCUCUAAAUAAAUGAAUAAUAAGAUGAAAGCUAAUGAGAUGAUACCUUUACCUGUACACUAACUUUUAAAAUGCUGGAAGUAUGAUAUUUCCGCUCAGAUAUUGUCAGUUCAGGUUUAGAUCAAAUUUUUCAAAGCAAAAUUUUAAUAUAGACUAUAUACAUGUUCAGUUUGAUGUUAACGCUUCUGAGUUUAAUGAGAAAGGGUUGAUCAGGGAAGGAACUAUGCUGCUUGUAUUACAAAUAUAGACUGGCUUUGUUUACAGGAAUCAAUCCACAACCUUCCAGAGGGAUGGCGCUGGGAAACAAUGAAAAACGAUAAGAUGUUUUAAAAGCCCUUCUUACUGGAAACAGUUCAGUUUUCCUUAGCCUCCCAGCUCUAACUUUUCCCUAUAUAUGGUACUCCAUUUUAAUGUCCUGAUUGUCUUGUCCACCUCUGAGUUUCAGUUUCUUUUGCAUGUUAACAAGUACAACCUGUUUAAUGUCAUCAUCUUUCUUGUGUUUUAGGAAUUUUUUCUGGGUGACUGCCUACAGUGGGCUGCCAGAGUUAGUCCUUGAUCAAUGAAGUGUCCUCAACUCAAGCCUUCAUUCCUCUAUUACAUUGUGUCAGCCAGAGGCUUAAACACAUUGAAGCUUCUGCUGUGUUAUUUUUCUUCAUUCAGUGUAUCAUCCCCAGAGAGCACCAGGGAAUAAAUAGAUUUUGUGCC
rnacentral:lncRNA from 1 species